CACGAAGUCGUGUGAGCUAAUUCAUCUAUAAAGUAUGUUGCAUAAUAUUUAUUAAAGUUGAAUUAGGGGUGAAAGGCCUCUCAAAAACGAAGAUAUCUUGAAGUGAAUAAAAAAAAUUUAGUUUUAAAAUGAUUACAAAGUUACAAGAUUUUGUAAGGGUUUUAAUAUUUAUUAUUAUAUAAUGUUAAUAUAAAAGUUUACAUAUUAUGGUAAAUUAAUAUGAAAUUAAUAAAAUUUAUUAAAUUAGUUUACGGUAAUAUAACUCCUAUAUACUCAUUAUGUUAAUAUAAGUACUUAUAAGAUAUUAAUAGUGAACUCGGCAAUAAAGCUUUCAACUGUUUAUCAAAAACAUAGCCACAUGAUUUAACAUGUGGUGUGUUCUGCUCAAUGAGAUUUAAAUAGCCGCAGUACCCUGACUGUGCAAAGGUAGCGUAAUCAUUUGUCUUCUAAUUAAAGUCGUGUAUGAAUGAAUGCAUGGGGGCUUACUCUACCAUUAGUAUAUUUUGAAAUUAUUUAAAAGGUGAAAAACCCUUUAUUUAAAAAAUAGACGAGAAGACCCUUGAAAUUUGUAAAGUAGUUUUGUUGGGGCAACAUAGUAGAUAAACCUACUAAAUGUACAUGCAAUUUAUUUGUUUGAAUAAAUUACUCUAGGGAUAACAGCAUAAUUCUCCAUGAGUUUGUGACCUCGAUGUUGGAUUAGGGAACUAUAGCUUAAAA
rnacentral:rRNA from 1 species